rnacentral:rRNA from 1 species
GCAUAUCAAUAAGCGGAGGAAAAGAAACUAACAAGGAUUCCCCUAGUAACGGCGAGUGAAGCGGGAAGAGCUCAAAUUUGAAAGCUGGUACCUUUGGUGCCCGCGUUGUAAUCUCGAGACGCGUUUUCCGCGCGGCGCUAUGGACAAGUUCCUUGGAACAGGACAUCGUAGAGGGUGAAAAUCCCGUACUUGCCAUGGAUGCACCGUGCUUUGUGAUACGUGCUCAAAGAGUCGAGUUGUUUGGGAUUGCAGCUCAAAAUGGGUGGUAGACUCCAUCUAAAGCUAAAUAUCGGGGAGAGACCGAUAGCGAACAAGUACCGUGAGGGAAAGAUGAAAAGCACUUUGGAAAGAGAGUUAAAAGUACGUGAAAUUGUCGAAAGGGAAGCGCUUGAAGUCAGCCAUGCCGCUCAGGACUCAGCCUGGCUUUUGCUUGGUGUACUUCCUGGGUAGCAAGUCAGCAUUGGUUUGGACCGUCGGAGAAGCAUGGCAGGAAUGUGACGCCCUCGGGCGUGUUAUAGCCUGCCAUUGGAUACGCCGGUCUAGACCAAGGAACGCAGUGCGC